rnacentral:rRNA from 1 species
GUAGGUGGCAAGCGUUGUCCGGAAUUAUUGGGCGUAAAGCGCGCGCAGGCGGUCCUUUAAGUCUGAUGUGAAAGCCCACGGCUCAACCGUGGAGGGUCAUUAGAAACUGGGGGACUUGAGUACAGAAGAGGAAAGCGGAAUUCCAAGUGUAGCGGUGAAAUGCGUAGAGAUUUGGAGGAACACCAGUGGCGAAGGCGGCUUUCUGGUCUGUAACUGACGCUGAGGCGCGAAAGCGUGGGGAGCAAACAGGAUUAGAUACCCUGGUAGUCCACGCCGUAAACGAUGAGUGCUAAGUGUUAGGGGGUUUCCCGCCCCCUUAGUGCUGCAGCUAACGCAUUAAGCACUCCGCCUGGGGAGUACGGCCGCAAGGCUG